GGCAGAAAUGAUUGGGAGUCGGGAGACAGGAAAAGCAGCUUCUGGGUAGUCUCAACUAGGGGAAGGCUCCAGGGAGGUAGUUAGGGGUCUGAUUUUACUGACAUAUUGGUGGAACACCUGGUGUGGAUGCAGUUAUACUGGUAUAAAUGUAUUUAUGCUGGGUAUAGCUGAGCCCCAUUCCCACACAGGAACAGUGAUACUUGCAUCAAGCAGCUAUAUUCCCUGCUAUGGGGAUGGAUCUGCUUUAACUGCACUUCAGUGGUACAAGUCAGGUGUAUACAGCAGGCCUACAUCUUUCUGGAGGAGAAGUGUGGUCGGGUGGUUACAGAAGUGGAAGGGGAAGGACUUGAUUCUCUACCUGUGAUCCUAUAGAGACCUCGAUUCACGGAAACAAAACAAAAAGCCCACGUUGUUGGUCUGGUACUUAAAGGGACAACUUCAAGUUGGAAAUCACAGUUGUGUCCGAAAAUUGUUUACACCUCCUCGUGUUACGAAGGACACCUAUGUUUUAUGUUACUGAAAAGAAAUCAGUCUCUUGCUUCCUUCAAACAUCACCAGAGGAGCAGAAAAAUCCUGAUCAGCAUCUCUGCAAAGAAUUUUUUUUUAAUCUGGGCUUGCGUCUCUGUUUGAAUCUUUAUGGUGCACAAAGAAGGUCUGCAAGAUGGUUGAUUUAUUAUUUUUCAGAUUUUUUUUUUAAAUCAUUGAAAUAUCAGCCAGGUUGACUCUAGAUCUGAUGGAGAAUCUAUUAGGAUGUGUAUUGUUAGCUGGCUCACCUAUAUUGAAGAGGUGGA